AGGCCGCCGGGCUCCGUGAGGGGCUCCUGGUCCCUUUGUCCCCUCCCCAGGUCCCGGGACAUCCACGGAAUGCCUGGAGGAGGAAGAGCUGCUGGCAAGGCCUGCAGCACCCGGGUGACAAGGACAAACAAAGCUCCCUGCUGUUUGCUCUGAGCGUGCCAAGCUGGCACUGCUCCCUUUCCGGGGACAUUAGAGGCCAGAAAUCACAUAAUUAAUUGAGCACAUCCUGUGCCACACGGGGCUGCCACGACUUUGAAGUCCCAAUAGAUCAUUUUAUGGAGCCGUGGGUACCAUUUUUUCCAAGGCAGCACCAGGCGCCAGCUCGAGGCCUUGUGGAAUUCAGCAUAUCCUACUCCAGGAAAGUGUGGUCUGAUUUAGCAUCAUGGAGCUGGGAGCUGUUACUGAUCCUGCAGCAGCAGUGAGGCAAAAAGACCCUGACAGGCUCUAUUAACCCUUAAAAACAAUAAAUGAUCUCAUCAGCCCCUCAAAGACAGAAGAAGAAAUAAUAAUGCAAUCAUUGACUUGGGUGAGGGAACAAGGCUUUGGGGGAUUGAUGCUGAAAUCCAUCCCCAAAGCCCCUGGUGCUGGAAUUAGCCAAGAGGGGCUGAGUUUCUCUAAGCUGAAAAGCAUUUAAAAAGGAGAAUAUGGAUGCACAGACAUAGCAGAACUUGUAUUUAUAUAUAUUUAUGUAGCUAUUUAUGUGAAGAACAGAGAGAGGAAGACAGAAGCUGAGUGGAAAAAUCUUAAAUGGAGUGAAAAAUAAUUGAGCCUGCACCACGUUGGUGCAUUUGGAAGAAAGGGCUGCGAAACUCCCUAAAAACUCUUUAAAUCUGAGAACUUAAGUCAGGAACUUCUGGAGAUGCAUUGAAAAUUGUUAAUUUUCAUGUAUUUUUAGCACUUUUUGAAAAGACAAACAGCAUCACUCGGUGUGGUUUUCUAGACUCGUGCAGAAUGAUUAUCUUCCCUCUGGAAUGAUGGGAAUUCUGUGUCACUGGAAAGAAGAGAAAUGAGAUUUUUUUGUACAGACAUUUCAAGCCAGCUCCUGACAUCUGAUGGGAAAUCACAUUCCUGCCUCUGAAUCCAUAAAAGCAUUUCAAAAUCCUGUAGGGAAAAAAAAAAUCAUCUUAUUCUCCAUGAAAUUCUGAGCAGUUUAAAGAUGAUUUCUGUGUGUAUUCAUGCUUCAUUUUAUAGAGCUUCUUUAAUUUCACGGCUACUUGGGGUCUUAUUCAAAAUCCCAUGUUGGAAAUGAAAAAUUUCCAUUGUUUCCGAUGGGCUUUGGAUGAAGCAGUGGAGAAACUUUCUGUGGGACUAAAAAUGGGAAUCAAUUCAUUACAGAAUCCCUGAGGUUCAUUUAAAAAGUCUUGUGAGCAGAAAUUGCUCUGUCUGUGGGGCAAACUCAUUAAAUUCCUUGUCUUGUGCCUUGUAUUUUCAUCCUGAGGUGGAUAAACAGGCAGGAAAAUCCUCAUUUUAUAUUCAAAUGCUCUUCAAAAUGAUGCCAGUAGGAAAAAGGUGAAUUGAACAGGGCUGGAAUUAAAAGUGGAGAUCUCCAGUCAUUCAUAAUGAUCUAAAAACUGCUUUAUCUAGUGAAUAUUUGAUAAUGCCAUUAAAUAUUUUAUAUUUUUAUAUUUUGGAUAUUUUUAUAUUUGUCAUUCUGGCUGUUUUAGAUGGAUAUUUAGUGUGAGUUAUUCCAAUUUUCUGCCUCUCUCCCUUUUUUCUCUGUUCCCUUCUGGCAAAUUCACACAUUCUCUAAAAGUGAAGAAUAUGUUGAACUUCAUGCUCUCCUAAUUUGAAUUGUGCUUACUGUAGGAUGACAAAAAUAAUUCCAGAUUUGCUUUGAAAAUGCUUUUUAAUUUAAUUUUUUUUCCCUGAGAUGAAUAUAGGGCUCUUUAGAAAGAAAAAACCCUGAAUUUUGAAGCAUUUCUGUGUCAAAGCAAUGACCUGUGUUGAUAAUUCUAAUUUUUUUAUUUCUCAGUUGUAAUGGUUGGAGCUGCAAUGCAAUGCAAUAUUGAAAACUCCAAUAUUUGGUCAAUAAAUCAUAAAUGAAAUGUCAUUUUUCCCUUCAUUUCCAAGCUCUUGGGGCUCUGGGUUGAACAGAGCCACAGUCCCAGGGAUUCUGGAAGGGAGGCUCAGCCUUGGAGAGUGCCUCAGUCCAACCUGGUCACUCAGUUUUCUCUGGAAUUCUGUGUUCUCCAGGCAGCUCAGCCCCAUAAAUGAACCCAUCCAUUUCAGUGAGUAAACCCCAUAAAUCCGGCCUGGAUUUGGACCUAAAAGUUGGGCAAAUUUCAGAUGAUUUGGGGGUGACACUGAAAGCAAUUCCCCUGCCAUGGGCCGAGCGAGGCAGAAAAUGCAAAUCCCAUCUGAGUGUGCAGGUUGGGAGUGAUUUCAAACAGCCACUGGAGCUUCAUGACAAUUCCUUUAACUCUAGAACGUGUUCAGCGCAAACCUACAGGAGUUUUUUUUUGUUUUUUCCCCCUCCUGUACGAGGCAAAGCAGACAAUGAGGUUGCAGAAAGUGUACGAGACUGGUUUUGUUUAACUUUGGUCUUCUCAAUUUACUCUCCCUGCCACUGCCCUCUGGAUAUUUUUAUGGAAGCAAAAGAAAAUGCUCCUUUUAUGUAUUAGGGCUAUGCAUGGGGGUGACUCAUUUGGCAAUAUUAAUAAGAGGUAAAAUCAGUUUUAUUUUGAAAUCUCCUCCAGAAUUAUUUGGGUGAAAGAGAAAAAUGGUCAAGAUUGCAGGAUGAGGCCGUUUGCUGCAUGGGGAGGGUUUUACCUUUCCUGGUGUUUCUAAUUCUGCAGAAUAACGAGAUUAGAAAGAAAAUACCCAGCACGGACUACAAAGAGAGCUCGUUCUGGGGAAAGCCAGGCUGGGAUAUUCUUGUUUUGGAGGGCUAGGUGCAGCUCAGGCUGGGAAAAGCUGGGAAUUCUUCACAUUUUGGUGAAGGGUGACAACAUCACACCCUGCUUCAGGCAUGGCUCUUCCUCUUGAGCUGCUUUUCCAUGGAUUGUGAAUGGAUCCUGCAGCCACAGACAGAUUGCCUGAUUUUUACAGGGCAAAAACAAACCCCAAAGCAGCCCCUGUUCUGUGUUUGUGCUUUCUCAGCACAGGGGGAUGUGACAGCUCUGUCUCAAACACCUGGAGCAUGGCCCUGGAUGCUGUAGGAUCUUCUGCCUUCAUGUAAGGGCUUCCACAUCAUAACAUCAGUCUGAAAAAUAAUCCCAAACCAAGAAAUCGUAGUGAGGGAGAGCAGAAGGAAGGAGGCCAUCAAUGGUACUCACAAAUGAAUGGUUUCUAGCAGUGCAACCCUCCCAAAUGUCCCAGCCUGGCCCUCCUGUUUCAUUUCAUACACUGAAUUCAAAAACCCAUCCAUCUUUUCAUCAGGUCAUUUUUACAGGCAAGUGAAAAUAAAGGGCAGUACCUUGAUGAAAGCUGUGUACAAGAUAACCAAAGCAAAAUGUGCUUUUUAUAAAUGACUGUGUCAUGCUGGCUGUUUUGGAAGGAUAUUUAGUGUGACUUAUCCCAGAUUUCUGCUUCUUUCCCUCGUUUCUCCCUUUCCUUUGCUCUCCUCUUCUGGAAAACUCACACAUUCCCUAGAAGUGAAGAAUAUCAGGAGCUUUAUGCUCUCCUAAUUUGAAUCCUACUCACAGUAGGAUGAGAACAAUAAUUCCAGGUUCUCUGAAUGGUGGCUCAGCUUAGAGCUGUGUUACCCUGGUCUUUAAACUGAGAGUUAGACAUAGUUAAGGGAUAAAGAGUUUUUAUUUCAGUAUUGAAUAAGGAUUUUUAUGGUGUAAUAAUUUGUUAAAGGUGGGAUAUGUUGAAAUGUAUGUUUAUGGUUUGUUGCAUAUAUAAUUUUAUAGACUUUGCAAAUGAGCAUAUUUGACAAAGAUGUUUUAAUGAGAAGUUUAAAUGAAUAGAGUGACAUCUCUAUCUUAAAGUAUCUUUUUAGAUGGAUUUAAAUUUAGUUUAUAAGAUAAGCUCUAUCUAAAGGGGGCUUUGGUUUUCUAAGAUUUUUUUUGGCUUUUAAUUGUGAGGCUUUUAGGAUACUUGGUUUUCUGGCUUAAUAGAAUAUUAGGAUUAUGUUAAGAUAUUUGACUUAAAGAAUGAUAAGUAUGUAUGUUAAGGUAUAUACAUACAUACUAUGAAUAUAUCAGAGACAUGUAAGGGAAUAUAUGAGAGGUAUAUAAAAAGAAAAGGCAAAAAAUCAUCAUGGCACCAGCCCCUUUCAGUGCCUUUGCCUCAUCCCAUCACCUUGUUUUCCUCCAUCCUGCAUUUCCCAAGGCUGGACCAUCCAUCCUUCCUUUCCCGUGUUGCCUGUAGCUGUGUAAAACAGCAAAGUGAGUGAUUUCCAUCUGGCAGCUCUUGCCUCGAACCAGUCUGUGUCUCUACCCACAAAUAACUCCCAAAUAAUUAAAUUGUCCGGGUUUUGAUCUUGCUCACAGGAGCAGAGCAAUUUUCAUUCCCUCAUGGAUUAGCUUAUCCUACAAGGUUAUGAUUCAAGCCUUCCCUUCUGCUCCGAUAUGAUUCUUCCAGACCUGGGGCCUGAUAGGGCCCUGCACAGCACCAGGCCUCUGUUUUCUCUGUAAAUACAGCCUACAAAAUUUCAACAAGUCAGCCCUUGUGUGCCACACCGGGAGAUUGAUGACAAACCACAUUAUUUUUCCCCUCCAUAGAACUGCCCACAAUUACAGCAGGGCUCUCUCCAAACACUGCUCUGUUUUUGUCCAGCAGGGAAAGGGCAGCAGCACGGGCCGGGAUCCGCCAGCGGGGCUGGAGGCAACACUGAGCAGCAUUAUUUGGGGAAAAUGCCCUUUUCUUCCCUCUUUUUUCUCCCUAUCCAUGAUAAAAUAUUGGAGCAGAUUCUGCCACGUGGGUUUAUGCAAAGCCAUGAACCCACCAGGAAAGGUUAUCUCAAUACCAAGGGAAGGAAAGGAGGGGCUCAGACCUGGAAAAAAUUCCCCUGAGCUGCUCCUGGGAUGCUGAGGCGGCUCCCAAACCAGGAAAUUGGUGAAAUUGGGAUUAUUAGUGGUUCCUGGAGAUUAGGCUUGUACUGUGCUGGGGCUUUGAUCCAAAAAUUCCUGUUUUCUGUUGGCCCUGUGUUUGAUAAUUCAGAAAAUUAAUAAUCACACAGAGAACACCACCACUACGCUGUAAGAUGUCAGGAAUAAACAGGUUACAAAAAUAAGUUUAAAAGGUAAUAAAAGGCUCCAUCUCCUGAAAGAAGAUUCCUGGAGAUGCAGGACCACACUGCUCUUGCUAUCCCAUAAUCCCUAACACCCAGUUUUUUAAACAUCCAGUUUUAAAUCCCUGAUUUUUGUCCUGCCAUCCCUCCUGCAUUUUGCUUGCAUCACAUAAUAAAAUUUGGAAAACAAGGAUUGCUGGGUGCUCUGAUGAUCUUUCCAGAAAUCUGCUGUCCUCCAGAUAACUGAAUUCCCAGACUCCAUGGAGAACUUGGGAGCACCUGAAGAGCAGGGCUCCCUUUCAAGUGAAAAACACUCCGAGCAUCCAACAUCUGUCAGAAUUCCCCAAUUUGUCACGAGGCUGCUGCAGGCUCAUCCAUCAUCCUGCCACGCCACGCUGGAAAUGGUGCUGAAAAGAUCCAAGUCAUUGCCUCCAAAAUGUUUUCUUUAUCUCUGGGCACCUUCAAAUCUUCCACAGGAGCCCUGAAAUCUCUGCUCUGCCUGCUCAUUGUUUAUAAAAUGUGUUUAAUUUGGGUGGUUUGUGUAUGAAAUGAGGGUGGUUGAGGGUUUUUUUUCUUCCUGCAGGGGCAUUUCUGGUCAAAACAUGGAUGUGCAGCAGAUUUCAGAGUGAUAAAGAACCCUCUUGUGUUAAGUUUACCCAUUGAAACUUCAAUUAUUUUCUGCUAAUUCCAUUUUUUUGUUAGCUUUCUUUUUACUUAUUUACUUAGAUCUCCAAAUAAAUGGUGACAUUCCAAGAUGUACAGAAUAUUCAGACUACUGUAGGUAAGAAAUCAAUUGCUUAAUUCUUCAAUUAUGGCACCUAUAUUGCCAAUAUUUAGCUCAAGAAAUGGAGUUUCCAAUGAGAUCAGUUUAAUCAAUCUAAUUUUUAGAGGCUCAAAAUAGAAUUUCUACAACUUCUCAUGUCUGUAAAAAAAAUUUUAUGUGCAUUUUUCUCCUUGGUACCCCAAAGUUUCUCAAUAAUUUCUGAGAGACUAUUGUUCCUUCUAAAGCUUGUGUAGGUCUAGAUAAGAUGCACAAAUUCCUGAAAAAAAAAAGUCUAAAAUUCUUCUGGAAUUGCAAAUUGUCUCUGCUUUGGUUGUUUGAAGCGAAAUCAUUCUGAAAACUUAAUUCUUCCUUGGAAUUUCAAAUCAAAAAAUUUUGGAAAAUAAAACAAGGCCUUGAGGUUUCAGCAAGAGAUAAACCAGAAUUCAAACACAAAUUUCAAAUUCUGUGUGAUUAUCUUGGAUAUCAAAGCAGAUUGGCAAAUAAAAUUAAAUGUGACCAGAAUGCUGCUAUUCAGUCCACAAAUUUAAGACAACUUAAUGCUAGGGAAGUGUUAAAAAUCCGAUAUUUGGUUCUAGGAGGACAACGAAUCAGUGCAAAUGGAUUUUUUCACAGUUCCUUGGGCAGGGAAUGGGAAGGAUUUUAAAGGACUUUUGGCAGGGAAGGGGGAUAAAGAGCAUUGGGCCGAUGCCUCCAGGAGCUCUGAGAAUCCCACCAGUUUUCCAUGAGAUUUCUGACACCUCUGUGGAAAAUGUGAACGGUUUAAUCCUGGGAGCUGCAGCCCUGCUCUUGAGGAAGAGGGAUCCAGGAUGGAGCUGGCAGCACUGGAAACCCUCUGUAGUGAACUCAGAAACUGUAGCAAACAGAAAUAUAUUUAAUUUAGGGCUUUUUAAAAAAAAAUAAUACUAAUUUAAAUUUUUUUUGUUGUUGUUGUUUGUUUUCUAACAAAUGAUCAGUUCAGAACAUCCUGAUCAAUCAGAACCUCUGUGAGCAGCUUUGGAGUACUUGCAAGGAGGAUGAACUCAGGCUGUGGCUUUGCAGGGCACUGAGCUGGGGUGGUGAGGUGAAAACCAGGGAAGAGCCAUUUCUUGCCCUUAAAUUUAAAAAAAAAAAAAAAAAGGAAUUGAAAAAAAAGGGAUAAAGAAAAAAAGGAAAAAAGAAAAAAAGAAAGGCAGCAAUAAAGCAAAAGGCACUUCCUAAAGGUAGCCAUUAAAUCAUUCAACACUCAGCUCCCCCGAGAGCAGAGGGUUCCUCUUUCCUUUCCAGGAGGGGUUUUCAGGAACCAUUCCUCAUCCUCUGCUCAGUGUCUUCUCCCUGGGCAUUGUCCCAGAGCCCAUCCAGGGGCAGCACUGCAGCAUUCCCUGGGAUGGCCUCGGGCCCAUAGAUCACUUCCCAAAAAGUUUCCAAUGGCUCCCCAAAGAGGAGGGCCGAGGGCUCUGUUUUGCUCGUGAUAAUGUGUUAAUGCUCCAAGACCCCACAUAAAUCUUCUCCCUGCAUCAUCAUUUGUCAAAGUCACAACACGGGGCUGGAAACAGCAAAAAAAAAAACCAAAAAAACCAACCCAAUUCAACCGAAAAAUAAAAAAAAGUACGAUGAGAUAGAAAACGUGGCUUUGUUUUUUUCGUCCCUCCCAUGUGAUUUUUCCCCUUCCUCUCCCCCUUCUCCUUUUCUCUUAAUCUCUAAACCAUCUGAUUGUGGAGAAAUGGUAAAUAAAGGCUUUGGUUUCUUUGUUUUUUUGUGUGAGUGCACACGUGCAUGGUUUGCUGGACACUUAAAAAUGGGAACUCCAAGUUUGUUGGAGGAGCCUUUGCCACCUCUGCUCAGGAAAAUGUUCUUUGGGUGAGGGUUGGUCGCCCUGGCGCUGCUUCCCAGUUUAGUCAUCGUUUGGGCUGAUCAAAUUAGAUGGAAAAACACGAUGGUAUCAAAAGCCCUGAUGGCUGAGGGAAUUUGUUUUUAAUCAUCUCUGAGGGAACAAUCCCACAGACCACAUCAAAAUGUUCUCCAGUGCUUGCUUGAAGUGAAACGAAGUCAUGAGAGAGAAAAUCAGACUUGUUUCAAUGUUUUAUUUCUCUUUUCCUUUUCAGCUCCAUUUCACUGUCUUGUUCUCAAUUUCAUUUUUUCCCUCCACCAUCCUGAUAAAAUGGUUCUUUUAAAACAUCUCCUGAAAAUCACUGGAUGGGGAUGGUUAGCUGACGUUUGUGCUCUGAAGUGCCAAGGCAGACACAUUUUACUGGUUUUACCAGUAAUUCUGUCUUAGAUGAGUUCUUGAUGUCCAGACAGGGAAUCGUGAUGGCAUUUGAGCCCUGUCCCUCCCUUGUGUUUCUGUUAAUAAACACCCAUUUUAGGCACCUUGAUAGGCAGGAAGGAAAAUAAAGACAUUUCUCCACCAGCAUUUAAUUGGAUCUACUGGGAAGAGCCAAGACUUUGGACCUGACAUUAUAAUCAUUAUCAGCCCAGCCAGAUACGGAUGAAAGCAGGUGGGAACUGAAGGGAAAACAAAUGGGAAUUGAUGUGGUGACACCAACCCCAGCUCAGCCCUGCUGUUUUCAGUCAAUUAUUGUUAAAUACAUGGACAUGGCAGGAUAAUCUAGAGCUCCAAGCCCUUCCCAGCCAUGCCAGCAGUGCCAGCGAAGUCCCUGAGGGCAGCAAAGCAAAUUGAGAUCAGCCCCACACCCCCUGGGACAUGCUUGGGGCAGUUUUGGGUGGCAGAACCCAGCCUGCAAUGCCAGAAUAAGGCAGAAUUAACAGAAUAUUUUUAUUGAAGCAUUUAAGGGAUAGUGUUGGUAGGCACUACUGGAUUCCCAAAUCCAGCCAGAGCCUGGAAACUCUUCCAGGGUUGGAGUGAGGAGCCAUGAAACCUCUCCUUUGUUGCACUCUGACAUUUGAUACGCAUUAAACAUUAAAUAUUAAAUAUUCUACUGCAGGCUGACUGGUCUCCCUGCUUUGGAGUGGCUCCGUGGCUGCUCCCAGCUCUCUCCCAGGCUUUAUCUCUGGUGUCCCCUUACAGCCUGGAUGUGAGAUCAGGCCGGCUCAGGGCUGGGAUUGCUGUCCAUGCAGGAGCCCCUGGAGGUGCUGGCAGCAUUCCCAAGCCCUGGCAUCCUCCUCCAGCCCAAUUAGGCUUCACCUCAGGUAACUCUUCAAAAGAAAACUCUCAAUAAUCAGAA